UACGGAGGGUGCAAGCGUUAUCCGGAUUCACUGGGUUUAAAGGGUGCGUAGGCGGGCAGGUAAGUCCGUGGUGAAAUCUCUGAGCUUAACUCAGAAACUGCCAUGGAUACUAUUUGUCUUGAAUAUUGUGGAGGUGAGCGGAAUAUGUCAUGUAGCGGUGAAAUGCUUAGAUAUGACAUAGAACACCCAUUGCGAAGGCAGCUCACUACACAAUGAUUGACGCUGAGGCACGAAAGCGUGGGGAUCAAACAGG
rnacentral:rRNA from 1 species